UUAUUAUUUACCCAUUUUAAAAUUAGUCUUAUAUUGUUAAUUUGAUCUUGAUAUUGUAAAAAUAUUGUCUCUUUAGAGUGGUUUGAAUAUGAUCUUGAUAAAACAAUGAAUUGAACUAGAUGACUUUGAAUUUUAUGAUAUCAUGGUUUCCUUAUGAUUAAAUGAUUAUGUGACAACUUCUUCUCCAGGGUAAAUUUCAACGUUAUAUUUCUGCUUUAUUGAUCUUUAACAGUUAAGGGAAGAAAGUCGGAGGCUGGCUUUGGCUGCGAAAAGAGAAAAAAGAAAAGAGAAGAGAAGGAAGAAAAAGGAAGAACAAAGAAGGAAACUAGAAGAAAUUGAAGCCAAAAAUAAAGAGAACUUUGAACUCCAAGCUGCUCAAGAAAAAGAAAAGCUUAAAGUUGAAGAUGAGCCUGAAGUCUUGACAGAACCUCCAAGUGCCACAACCACUACUACCAUAGGUAUAUCUGCAACCUGGACAACUUUGGCAGGUUCUCAUGGUAAAAGAAAUAAUACCAUAACUACAACCAGUUCAAAGAGGAAAAACAGGAAAAAUAAAAUUACUCCAGAAAACGUUCAAAUUAUAUUUGAUGAUCCACUACCAAUUUCAUACAGUCAGCCAGAGAAGGUGAAUGGAGAGUCCAAGAGCAGCAGUACCAGCGAGAGUGGGGACAGUGAUAACAUGAGGAUUUCCAGCUGCAGCGAUGAAAGUAGUAACAGCAACAGCAGUCGUAAGAGUGACAAUCAUUCACCAGCUGUGGUCACUACCACUGUGAGCAGCAAAAAGCAGCCAUCAGUUCUUGUUACAUUUCCAAAGGAAGAGAGAAAAUCUGUUUCUGGCAAGGCUUCAAUAAA
rnacentral:lncRNA from 10 species